rnacentral:rRNA from 1 species
GUGCCUUCGGGAACUCUGAGACAGGUGCUGCAUGGCUGUCGUCAGCUCGUGUUGUGAAAUGUUGGGUUAAGUCCCGCAACGAGCGCAACCCUUAUCCUUUGUUGCCAGCGGUCCGGCCGGGAACUCAAAGGAGACUGCCAGUGAUAAACUGGAGGAAGGUGGGGAUGACGUCAAGUCAUCAUGGCCCUUACGAGUAGGGCUACACACGUGCUACAAUGGCGCAUACAAAGAGAAGCGACCUCGCGAGAGCAAGCGGACCUCAUAAAGUGCGUCGUAGUCCGGAUUGGAGUCUGCAACUCGACUCCAUGAAGUCGGAAUCGCUAGUAAUCGUAGAUCAGAAUGCUACGGUGAAUACGUUCCC